GGGCGCUUCCUUAUUCUGUUGGUGGGAGUAAAGAAGUCGUCCUGGCCAGCAGUGUGGGGCCUGGGGAUGAAUUCCACCAGGGUGGUUCCUCUGGUGAAGUUGAUACUGCGUUGUGACGGUGCAAACUGGGGGGCGCUGGCCCUGGGGCCCAGCACGUGUUGGUUUGGCUAUUUGCUUCAUGGAUGGGCUUCAGCAGCUUUGGUUGAUCUUGACCCCCAGCAAUGCGCCCCUGGUGAGGCUGAGGGGGCACCCUUUGCAGAAGAAACUGAACAUUCUGGAUAUUUCCCUCCCCAUACCCACCGCAGCCAGAGUGUGCUACUGUGAUUUGACUUGGAGUGAUCUGUGAUAGGUGACCCGAAGGGGCACUGCAGGGAGAGGCCACUGCACUUUAUUUUUUAGAUUUUAAAAUUUUAUUUUAUGCCGGGCGGUGGGCAGAGGCAGGUGAAUCUCUGUGAGUUCGAGGCCAGCCUGGUCUCCAGAGUGAGUGCCAGGAUAGGCUCUAAAGCUGCACAGAGAAACCCUGUCUCGAGAAAAAAAAAAAAAAAAAAAGUGAGAGUCUUGCUUGCACAUAUGUCUGUGUAGUGUGUGCAUGCUUCAUGCCCACAGAGUUCAGAAGAGGGUAUUUGAUUCCCUCUGGAGGCCAAGAACUAAACCUGGGUUCUCUUGCAAGAGCAACAAGUGCUCUUAACCGUUGGGCCAUCUCUCCAGCCCCCAGCCAAUGCCACUAUUAUUAAUUACGCCAGGGUACUAGGCCUUGCUGUGACUGUCCAGGUGACCAGGUUGGGACUCACAGGUGUGCCUCACCUGUCACAGAGAUGUUUGCACUGAACUUUGUUGGUAAGUAUGGGUCCUGAAGGGCUGUCUGGCAGCCGUGGUGGUUGCCAUGUGAGUUCUGGCAGAGUGGAGAGACAGGAGGUAACCCCAACAAAGCGGAGACACUGUCCUCUCUCCCUGCCCCACCAGGUGAUUCCUCGAUAAACCAUCUUCCUUCAGCAAGGCUGCCUCUUCCAACCCCAACAGGUCUGAGCACACAGCCGCCUCUCACUGUCCCAAGAGUGCGUGUGUACUGGGGAAAGCUUCCUUUCAUCCUGUGUGGGGAAGCGGGUACCCUGUAGAGAAGGGAUGACUGGCAGCUGAGGGACCCAGCGAGGCAGCUCUGGUGGCACUUUGUGAAAGUCAGGCAAGGAGGGGAUCUGGGUCUGGAAGGUCCAUGUGGGGAGUGUGCUCUGCAGAAGGGACACUGAGUGCCGGGGACCUGAAGACCACGCGGAACUCAGUGUGCUUCAGCACAAGCCCUAUGAAUGCUCACUCAAGUUUUGUUUUUGUGGGGUUUUUCUUUUUUCUUUUGAAAUAGGGUCUCAUAUAGCCCAGGCUAGCUUCAUACUGCCUGUAUAGCUGGGCUGACCCUGAACUUCUGAUCCUCCCGCCUCUGCUUCCUGAGUGCUGGAAUUAUGAUGUGCCACCAUGCCUGGCUUUAUUUCUUUUUUUCUUCCUUUCUUCCUUCCUCCCUUCCUUCCUUGUUAGGAUAAAUCUUUCCGCCAAAGCUGCCAAACCCCACCACGAUGUGUGAGCUUUACACCAGCUGCCCGUCCAGGCCCAAAUGAAUACACAGAAACUUGUAUUAGGUUCAAAUGCUGCUUGGCCAAUGACUAGGAUUCUCAUCUGCUAGCUCAGUCUUAAUUAUCAUAAACCUAUAUGUUUUAUAAGAAUUAUCUUAUAGAGGAUGCUUUUCACUGCCACCCUCUCUUGCUGGUGGCUCACAUUGUGUCACUGGAGGAGGCGAAGGGGAAAGAGGGCCAUUUCCUGUUUCUCCUUGCUUAAAUAUGAGUCUCCUUGCUAUGUCACUUCCUGCCUGGAUCACCACUUCUCUACUACAUUUCCCAGAAUCCUCUUUGACUCCUAGUCCUGUCUAACUUGCUGCCAUUGGCCAAACAGUAUUUUAUUCAACAAUCAAUAAGAUGAACAUACACAGAAGUACAUUCCCCAUCACUACCUUUUUAAAAAUAAACCCAAGAAGUACCAAGAAAUCUAAAUGACCCAGUCUUUCCCAGCACAACCUAUUGGCCCUGAAAAGAAAGUAAUUCACUCGGUAGAUUUCAAUAGCCGACAAAAGUCUAGAAUGAAAAGCUCAGCCUUGCUUCUCAUCUUUUACCCCAAAGCUAAGUUCUUUUCACUCAUGAGUACUUCCAAAAGGGUUCACCAUGGACCAUAAUGUGUCACAGGUUAGUUCUGUGACUUGCUGGGAGCGGAUCACUCAGACUUCUACAGGACACACUCAAGUGUUGGUGGCUGUUUCCAUCAAGGCUUGGGGGUUGGGGACACACUCCAUUGUGUGUAGUGGCUGUAUGUAAACUGUCAUGGAUGCUGUAAACAAUCUAUUAGAACAGUUUCCUCUGGAUGUGUUUUGCUUUUGUGAGCCUGGCUGGUGGAAUUAGGUCACUGAGAGGUGAACUUUAAGCUUCCGGCCCCACACCUCCUGCUUCCUUCCGGGUCUGCUGUAUAGUCUCCGUCACACUUGGGCCGCCAGGAGCUCUACGUGCCUCCCCCACAGAGGUGGACUGAAAUCCCUCAAACCAUGAUCCGAAAUAAACAUUCCUUUCCAUCAUGCCUUUUGGUAACAGCGAAGAGAAAGUUAACUACUAUGAUGCCUUUCAAGGAGUUGUCCAUUUGACUCAGGUUAUAGAUCCAACUGUUUGAAUAAGCAAUUUAAAGCCAUUUAACAUACCAUUGUAAAUGCUUCCAGUGGGUCUGAUGGUCAGUUCUCGUCCCCCAGAAGAACCACCUAACUCAGGGGUCUGCAUCAUGGUGUUCACCUUCCACGGCCACCAUCUCAUUAGCUGUUGAAACCUGGUGUAGAAAGGAGUUGAGCCAAAUAGCACAAGUGUACUCCAGCGUGUGGGAAGCUGAGGCAGGAAAAUUGCCACAAGUUCAAGGCUGACCUGGCCGCAUAACAAGGGAUUAUUAUCUGGAAAGACAGACAAAUAGAAAGCAGAACACAUCCAGGUGUGGUGGAGCCCAUUCAUAAUCCCAGUGUUUAAGGCGCUGAGGCAGGUUUUGUUUUGACACUGGAUGUCCAGUAACUCCCUCUGUAGACCAGGCUGGCCUUAAAUUCAGAGAUCUACCUGCCUCUACCUCCUGAGUGCUAGGAUUAAAGGCAUGCGCCACCACACCUGGCUCUGAGACAGUUUGAGGACAGCUACGUAGUACGUUUGAGGCAGUUUCAAAAAUCCCAAACCAUGAGGACAAUGAGCUAGCUCACCUUGUAAAGGCACUUGAAGCACAAGCCCGACAGCCAAAGUUCAGUCCCCAGAACCAAGUAAAGUUGGAAGGAGAGAACUGACUCCAGAAAAAAUUAAGCUCCUGAGAAAACAUUGCAUUCUAUUCAAAAGCUUUGGAGAACACCUUGACUACUGAGAGACAGGUGAAAACUUAACGUGGAGCAGCAGCUUGAGAUGCUCUGCAAGACAAGAAGUAGGCAAAUCUCCUGGGAUGUGGCAUGUUCUUUAAGUAUUUGUGCUUAAAUUGGGCAGUGGCUAGCCCAGGCCUUUAAUCCCAGCACUCAGGAGGUACAGAGGCAGUGGGAUCUCUGAGUUCAAGGCCAGCCUGGUCUACAGAAAGAGUUCCAAGACAGCCAGGGUUAUCCUGUCUCAAAAAACCAAUAAAUAAAUGUUUGUUUUUACAUUUGUGUAUGUGUGUGUGAAAGAGAGAGAGGUUGUGUGCUGUAUGCUGUGUGUGUGUGGCUAUCCACAGGAGUCAGAAAAAAGGCACCUGAUCCCCCGAAGCUGGAGAUGGAGCUAUCUGAAGUGGUUGCUGGGAACUGAACUCAGGGCCUCUGGAGGAGCAGUAUUGCACUCUUAACCUCUGAGCCAUCUCUUCUGCCCCAGGCAUGUUUUGUAGGUUUAUUAUUUGUUUUUUUUUGAGACAGGGGUCUCUCCCUACAGCCCUGUCUGUUCUGGAACUUACUCUGUAGACCAGGCUGACCUCUAACUCAUAGAAUAGAAAUCCACCUGCCAAAUAUGUUUCUGUUUGUUAUUUCUUUUUCUUUUUCUUUCUUUCUUUCUUUUUUUUUUUUUUUGGUUUUUCGAGACAGGGUUUCUCUGUGUAGCUUUGGAGCCUAUCCUGGCACUCGCUGGCUUCGAACUCACAGAGAUAUGCCUGCCUCUGCCUCCCUUAAGGCGUGCGCCACCACCGCCCAUCUGUUUGUUUGUUUUAUUAUUUUUUUAAAAGAACUUAUUUAUUUAUUAUGUAUACAACAUUCUGCUUCCAUAUAUAUCUGAACACCAGAAGAGGGCACCAGAUCUCAUUGUAGAUGGUUGUGAGCCACCAUGUGGUUGCUGGGAAUUGAACACUCAUGACCUCUGGAAGAGUAGUCGGUGCUCUUAACCUCUGAGCCAUCUCUCCAGCCCUGUUUGUUUGUUUUAAAGAGCACAGGACACAAGGUAUGGCGGCCCAUGUCUCUAAUUCCAGUACUUGGGAGGCAGAGGCAGGCAGAUCUCUGUGAGUUCAAGGGCAGUCUGUUCUAUAUAGUGAGUUUCUGGCUAUCCAGGGUUACAAAGUGAGACCCUGUCUUAAAAAAAAAAAAUCACAAGUCUCAGCACAGAGGAUGCACCUUCACAUGCUCCUCCAGGUAGGCCCUUCUCUCCCCAGGCCCAUGUGACUGUAGUAUUCAAACAGCUUUGCUAUGAACCAUCAAGAGGACCCUAGAGAUCCCAUCAAGCAACAGAUUGCACAGGGAAUAGAACCUAGCAUGCCAGAAUGACACCCUGAUGAUUUAGGGGCUUGGCUCCUAAAGUGUCAAAAACAACAAAAACCGGCUCCUGGGGCAGGGGCACCACCACCACUUCCCUCUUAUGUAGUAGCAUCUUGCUUUGCCAGUGAACUUGCAGUGGUGGCCACAUCCUAGGGGGCAUGGCUUCAGGGGUGCAGCCGUGACCCCCUUGGGUGGUGUUCAGAGCAUGGGAAGGGCAGAGAUUACAUCUUCAGGAGCAGGAAGACCAUGGUGAUUAUUUACUCUCUCUCUCUCUCUCUUUUUUUUUUUUUUUUGGUUUUUCGAGACAGGGUUUCUCUGUGUAGCUUUGGAGCCUUUCCUGGCACUCGCUCUAGAGACCAGGCUGACCUCGAACUCACAGAGAUCUGCCUGCCUCUGCCUCCCGAGUGCUGGGAUUAAAGGCAUGCGCC
rnacentral:lncRNA from 1 species